rnacentral:rRNA from 1 species
UACGUAGGUGGCUAGCGUUGUCCGGAUUUACUGGGCGUAAAGAGCGCGCAGGCGGUCGUUCAAGUCGAGUGUGAAAGCCCCCGGCUCAACUGGGGAGGGUCACUCGAUACUGAUCGACUCGAAGGCAGGAGAGGGAAGCGGAAUUCCCGGUGUAGUGGUGAAAUGCGUAGAUAUCGAGAGGAACACCGGUGGCGAAGGCGGCCAACUGGACGAGUACUGACGCUGAGACACGAAAGCGUGGGGAGCAAACAGG